rnacentral:rRNA from 1 species
UACGAAGGGGGCUAGCGUUGUUCGGAUUUACUGGGCGUAAAGCGCACGUAGGCGGAUCUUUAAGUCAGGGGUGAAAUCCUGGAGCUCAACUCCAGAACUGCCUUGAUACUGGGAUCUCGAGUCCGGGAGAGGUGAGUGGAACUCCGAGUGUAGAGGUGAAAUUCGUAGAUAUUCGGAAGAACACCAGUGGCGAAGGCGGCUCACUGGCCCGGUACUGACGCUGAGGUGCGAAAGCGUGGGAGCAACAGG